rnacentral:rRNA from 1 species
UACGAGGGGGGCAAAUGUUGUUCGGAAUCACUGGGCGUAAAGGGAGCGUAGGCGGGUUUUUAAGUCAGGUGUUUAAUCCCGGGGCCCAACCCCGGACAGGCACUUGAAACUGGGAAUCUUGAAUAGUGGAGAGGUCAGUGGAAUUGGGGGUGUAGCGGUGGAAUGCGUAGAGAUCCCAAGAACACCCGUUGCGAAGGCGGCUGACUGGACACAUAUUGACGCUGAGGCUCGAAAGCAUGGGGAGCAAACAGGG